GUGGGUAUAGCUCAGGUGGUUAGAGCGCUAGUUUGUGGCACUAGAGGCCGUCGGUUCGAGUCCGAUUACCCACCCCA
rnacentral:tRNA from 1 species